UUUAUGGAGAGUUUGAUCCUGGCUCAGGAUGAACGCUGGCGGCGUGCCUAAUACAUGCAAGUCGAGCGAACGGACGAGAAGCUUGCUUCUCUGAUGUUAGCGGCGGACGGGUGAGUAACACGUGGAUAACCUACCUAUAAGACUGGGAUAACUUCGGGAAACCGGAGCUAAUACCGGAUAAUAUUUUGAACCGCAUGGUUCAAAAGUGAAAGACGGUCUUGCUGUCACUUAUAGAUGGAUCCGCGCUGCAUUAGCUAGUUGGUAAGGUAACGGCUUACCAAGGCAACGAUGCAUAGCCGACCUGAGAGGGUGAUCGGCCACACUGGAACUGAGACACGGUCCAGACUCCUACGGGAGGCAGCAGUAGGGAAUCUUCCGCAAUGGGCGAAAGCCUGACGGAGCAACGCCGCGUGAGUGAUGAAGGUCUUCGGAUCGUAAAACUCUGUUAUUAGGGAAGAACAUAUGUGUAAGUAACUGUGCACAUCUUGACGGUACCUAAUCAGAAAGCCACGGCUAACUACGUGCCAGCAGCCGCGGUAAUACGUAGGUGGCAAGCGUUAUCCGGAAUUAUUGGGCGUAAAGCGCGCGUAGGCGGUUUUUUAAGUCUGAUGUGAAAGCCCACGGCUCAACCGUGGAGGGUCAUUGGAAACUGGAAAACUUGAGUGCAGAAGAGGAAAGUGGAAUUCCAUGUGUAGCGGUGAAAUGCGCAGAGAUAUGGAGGAACACCAGUGGCGAAGGCGACUUUCUGGUCUGUAACUGACGCUGAUGUGCGAAAGCGUGGGGAUCAAACAGGAUUAGAUACCCUGGUAGUCCACGCCGUAAACGAUGAGUGCUAAGUGUUAGGGGGUUUCCGCCCCUUAGUGCUGCAGCUAACGCAUUAAGCACUCCGCCUGGGGAGUACGACCGCAAGGUUGAAACUCAAAGGAAUUGACGGGGACCCGCACAAGCGGUGGAGCAUGUGGUUUAAUUCGAAGCAACGCGAAGAACCUUACCAAAUCUUGACAUCCUUUGACAACUCUAGAGAUAGAGCCUUCCCCUUCGGGGGACAAAGUGACAGGUGGUGCAUGGUUGUCGUCAGCUCGUGUCGUGAGAUGUUGGGUUAAGUCCCGCAACGAGCGCAACCCUUAAGCUUAGUUGCCAUCAUUAAGUUGGGCACUCUAAGUUGACUGCCGGUGACAAACCGGAGGAAGGUGGGGAUGACGUCAAAUCAUCAUGCCCCUUAUGAUUUGGGCUACACACGUGCUACAAUGGACAAUACAAAGGGUAGCGAAACCGCGAGGUCAAGCAAAUCCCAUAAAGUUGUUCUCAGUUCGGAUUGUAGUCUGCAACUCGACUACAUGAAGCUGGAAUCGCUAGUAAUCGUAGAUCAGCAUGCUACGGUGAAUACGUUCCCGGGUCUUGUACACACCGCCCGUCACACCACGAGAGUUUGUAACACCCGAAGCCGGUGGAGUAACCUUUUAGGAGCUAGCCGUCGAAGGUGGGACAAAUGAUUGGGGUGAAGUCGUAACAAGGUAGCCGUAUCGGAAGGUGCGGCUGGAUCACCUCCUUUCU
rnacentral:rRNA from 1 species